rnacentral:rRNA from 1 species
AUACGGAGGAUGCGAGCGUUAUCCGGAUUUAUUGGGUUUAAAGGGAGCGUAGGCGGGAGCUUAAGUCAGCGGUUAAAUGGUGCGGCUCAACCGUGCCCUGCCGUUGAAACUGGGUUUCUUAAGAGUGCAAGAGGCGGAUGGAAUUCAUGGUGUAGCGGUGAAAUGCUUAGAUAUCAUGAAGAACUCCGAUUGCGAAGGCAGUCCGCUGGGGCACGUCUGACGCUGAUGCUCGAAGGUGCGGGAAUCAAACAGGAUUAGAUACCCUGGUAGUCCGCACGGUAAACGAUGAUUACCCGCUGUCGGAGGCAGACAGUCGGCGGCCAAGCGAAAGCGAUAAGUAAUCCACCUGGGGAGUACGCCGGCAACGGUGAAACUUAAAGGAAUUGGCGGGG